UACGGGGGGGGCAAGCGUUGUUCGGAAUUACUGGGCGUAAAGGGCGCGUAGGCGGAAUGGCAAGUCGGUCGUGAAAUCCUUCGGCUCAACCGAAGAACGUCGAUCGAAACUGCCGUUCUUGAGGAUUGCAGAGGAGACUGGAAUUCCCGGUGUAGCGGUGGAAUGCGCAGAUAUCAGGAGGAACACCAAUAGCGAAGGCAGCUCGCUGGGACGGUACUGACGCUGAGGAGCGAAAGCGUGGGGAGCGAACAGG
rnacentral:rRNA from 1 species